CCUACGGGUGGCAGCAGUGAGGAAUAUUGGUCAAUGGACGCAAGUCUGAACCAGCCAUGCCGCGUGCAGGAAGACGGCUCUAUGAGUUGUAAACUGCUUUUGUACGAGGGUAAACGCAGAUACGCGUAUCUGUCUGAAAGUAUCGUACGAAUAAGGAUCGGCUAACUCCGUGCCAGCAGCCGCGGUAAUACGGAGGAUUCAAGCGUUAUCCGGAUUUAUUGGGUUUAAAGGGUGCGUAGGCGGUCGGAUAAGUUAGAGGUGAAAUCCCGAGGCUCAACUUCGGAAUUGCCUCUGAUACUAGUCGGCUAGAGAGUAGUUGCGGUAGGCGGAAUGUAUGGUGUAGCGGUGAAAUGCUUAGAGAUCAUACAGAACACCGAUUGCGAAGGCAGCUUACUGGACAGUAACUGACGUUGAGGCUCGAAAGCGUGGGGAGCAAACAGGAUUAGAUACCCGAGUAGUC
rnacentral:rRNA from 1 species